CCUACGGGGGGCAGCAGUGGGGAAUAUUGCACAAUGGGGGAAACCCUGAUGCAGCAACGCCGCGUGAGUGAGGAAGUAUUUCGGUAUGUAAAGCUCUAUCAGCAGGGAAUAGAAAAGAAGGUACCUGAAAAAGAAGCCCCGGCUAACUACGUGCCAGCAGCCGCGGUAAUACGUAGGGGGCAAGCGUUAUCCGGAUUUACUGGGUGUAAAAGGAGCGUAGACGGAAAGGCAAGUCAGAAGUGAAAGCCCAAGGCUC
rnacentral:rRNA from 1 species